GGCUUACACAUGCAAGUCGAGCGGUAAGGCCCUUCGGGGUACACGAGCGGCGAACGGGUGAGUAACACGUGAGCAACCUGCCCCCGACUCCGGGAUAAGCGGUGGAAACGCCGUCUAAUACCGGAUACGACCGGCCACCUCAUGGCGGCCGGUGGAAAGUUUUCUCGGUUGGGGAUGGGCUCGCGGCCUAUCAGCUAGUUGGUGGGGUAAAGGCCUACCAAGGCGAUUACGGGUAGCCGGCCUGAGAGGGCGACCGGCCACACUGGGACUGAGACACGGCCCAGACUCCUGCGGGAGGCAGCAGUGGGGAAUAUUGCGCAAUGGGCGAAAGCCUGACGCAGCGACGCCGCGUGGGGGAUGACGGCCUUCGGGUUGUAAACCUCUUUUACCACCAACGCAGGCUCCCAGUUCUCUGGGGGUUGACGGUAGGUGGGGAAUAAGGACCGGCUAACUACGUGCCAGCAGCCGCGGUAAUACGUAGGGUCCGAGCGUUGUCCGGAAUUAUUGGGCGUAAAGAGCUCGUAGGCGGCGUGUCGCGUCUGCUGUGAAAGACCGGGGCUUAACUCCGGUUCUGCAGUGGAUACGGGCAUGCUAGAGGUAGGUAGGGGAGACUGGAAUUCCUGGUGUAGCGGUGAAAUGCGCAGAUAUCAGGAGGAACACCGGUGGCGAAGGCGGGUCUCUGGGCCUUACCUGACGCUGAGGAGCGAAAGCAUGGGGGAGCGAACAGGAUUAGAUACCCUGGUAGUCCAUGCCGUAAACGUUGGGCGCUAGGUGUGGGGACUUUCCACGGUUUCCGCGCCGUAGCUAACGCAUUAAGCGCCCCGCCUGGGGAGUACGGCCGCAGGCUAAACUCUAGGAAUUGACGGGGGUCCGCACAAGCGGGGAGCAUGUUGCUUACUUCGACGCAACGCGAGACCUUACCAAGGUUUGACUCACCGUGGACCUGCAGAGAUGUGGGGUCAUUUAGUUGCGGGUGACAGCUGUCGCAUGACUGCCGUCGCUCGUGUCGCGAGAUGUGGCUUAUAGA
rnacentral:rRNA from 1 species